ACACUGAAGUGAGUGGUGACAGACAGGUGAAUAGCGUACCCUUCACCCUCGGAGAGGCUGUGUUUGGAAAACCCUUGUUGAUUUUAACUUGGAAAAUUAGUCACCCAUGUAAUGUUGCCGGGAAACUCUCUGGGGCUGGCCCAAGUCACAGAACAUGUGCAGAUUGUUUUCUAAGCUGUGCUUUGUUGAAAUAGCAACUCCCAGUUUGCCUCAGGUGUAGAGUUUGGGUUCAUGGUUCACUGGAUGUUUUAGGAAAACAGAAGUGAACAUUCCAAUCCCUUCUCUCCCAGCUCGUAGUGUGUGAGGUUGUUUGUUCUCAUGGCUCAGCAGAUUGCUGAUAAUGGCCAUUCCGUCUCCUGGCCCUCUCCCAGAAGAACCAUAUUUAAGCUCUCCGUGGAUGUAAAUGCCGGGAAAGCAUUACUCUCCAGGUCUCUCCACCAAAGAUUCACCCACUUGCCUUCGAGCACGGACUUGUCGAAUGUUCUUCACUGAAGAUUAUUUGACCAGAUUAACCUUCAGUGGCAGACAGUAAAAAAGACCUUCAAUGACCAGCUGUGAGACUGGAGGCUGGAUGUCUCUCUAAUGAACUCCGGCUCGUGCAGGAGAGAGAACACUUUAAAAACCAAAGCAGGUGAAGGUCCAGGAAUGAUGACAGAAUAGAAGACGCCUUCACUCUUUUCAUUCAAGAAAUGGCAUGCAGGUGGUGUCACUGGAUGGAUCCAGUGGGCAUAUGUGCCAGAGGUGGCAUUGAUGGGGUGGAACUGGAGGCUGGGGUCAUGUCGGUGAAGUGGUGAGGUAGUGACAGGGAGGACAGUUUGCAGAGUUCCUGCUAAUUCUUGUGAGAGCUCCAACAAGGAUGAAGAAAAGGGACCGUAAUCAUGAAAAGUGGCUGCUC
rnacentral:lncRNA from 13 species